UACGAAGGGGGCUAGCGUUGUUCGGAAUCACUGGGCGUAAAGGGCGCGUAGGCGGCUUUAUAAGUCGGGGGUGAAAGCCUGUGGCUCAACCACAGAAUUGCCUUCGAUACUGUAGAGCUUGAGACCGGAAGAGGUAAGUGGAACUGCGAGUGUAGAGGUGAAAUUCGUAGAUAUUCGCAAGAACACCAGUGGCGAAGGCGGCUUACUGGUCCGGUUCUGACGCUGAGGCGCGAAAGCGUGGGUAGCAAACAGG
rnacentral:rRNA from 1 species